rnacentral:rRNA from 1 species
UAAUUGAAGAGUUUGAUCCUGGCUCAGAUUGAACGCUGGCGGCAUGCCUUACACAUGCAAGUCGAGCGGCAGCGCGGGGGCAACCCUGGCGGCGAGCGGCGGACGGGUGAGUAAUGCAUCGGAACGUGUCCUCUUGUGGGGGAUAACCAGUCGAAAGAUUGGCUAAUACCGCAUGAGCUCGCAAGAGGAAAGCGGGGGAUCCGUAAGGACCUCGCGCGAGAGGAGCGGCCGAUGCCCGAUUAGCUAGUUGGUGGGGUAAUAGCCUACCAAGGCGACGAUCGGUAGCUGGUCUGAGAGGACGACCAGCCACACUGGGACUGAGACACGGCCCAGACUCCUACGGGAGGCAGCAGUGGGGAAUUUUGGACAAUGGGGGCAACCCUGAUCCAGCCAUGCCGCGUGUGUGAAGAAGGCCUUCGGGUUGUAAAGCACUUUCGGACGGAACGAAAUCG